AUACAGUAGACGAGUCUCAAAUAGGACGAAAUGAGCGUCCUGGAU
rfam:Schistosoma mansoni strain Puerto Rico chromosome 1, complete genome